AGAAUUUAUAUAUGAUGUCUUCUGAGAGCAACAGUUAGUGUCAGUAGAAGCCUGUUUAUUUUUAUUUUUUUUUGACAGACUGAGAAAGAAUCACUACUGAGUACAGAGGCAAGGAAAGGAAAAAAAAAAAAACAAACAGACAAAAAAAACAACACACUUCAAACAGAAAGUACCCAAAGUUCAUAAAAAAGGCACGUAAUCAUAGUCUUCCUAUGGUUAUACACACACAUGUGCAUGAUCACAUCAGUCCUUAACUUCAAUGGGAGUUGCUCACAUGUGUCUUUGGUCAGAUCUUGUCCCUAAGCUGAUGUAUGUCUGAAGGAAGUUUGGGCUCUGAUUCAGGUUCAAAUCAGGUUCAGUAUGGAAAAUCCUGAACUUAGAGCCAGACCCUAAAGCAGUCCUUCAAAGAGGCAAACAAACAGAGCAGACCAGCUUUUCUCCCUAGCUAGAGCUCUCUAGCCUUAGUUCAGGUCUAGCACACCCCUCUGCCUCCCUCUUAACCAAAAUAAUUAUUUUUAAAGGGAUCUUUAUUUCACUCAGGAGAAUACAGUACAGGCAGUUGGCUAGUGAUGGUGCCUUGGAGCUCAGCCACCUGGGGCGAGUGUGAGACUGCACAUGGAGGGGAAAGGAGAAAGCAGCAAGUGACAGAGACCCUGCUGCUACAAGAGCCUGGGAGACUCAUCCCAAAGAUUCCCAAAGAUUUGGCUAUUCCAUGCACAGGAAUAUCAUAUGAAUGAGACGAUCAUUCCUGACUCCCUGCAGGUUUUCAGCUGUGGUGUUGUAAACAUGAGCAGAACACUGAUGAGCAGAUUGGCAGGAAAAAGCCAGACUGUCUGAAAGGAAACAAAGUUGAGGACAAGCAUUAAGCCUUGAAAGAGACGACCAGGAACAUGCAGCGAUGACUUUUUCCAAAUGUCUUUCGUAACAAUUUUAUUACUCACCUAAAUCAGGAGAAAUUUGAAAUUUGACUGUAGUGUCAAAAAAAAACCUUUUUUUUUCUGUUGCCUGUAGGGGAAAAUUUGUAUAUUAUUAAUGUAAUAAAUCAAAGGUAUAUCCAUCA
rnacentral:lncRNA from 1 species